rnacentral:rRNA from 1 species
GACGAACGCUGGCGGCGUGCCUAAUACAUGCAAGUCGAACGCAGUGGGGACGGGUGAGUAACAAGUGGGUAACCUCCCCAUCAGAGGGGAUAACACUUGGAAACAGGUGCUAAACCGAUACUGAUGACUGGACCCGCGGUGCAUUAGCUAGUUGGUGAGGGAACGGCGAACCAAGGCCACGAUGGAUAGCCGACCUGAGAGGGUGAUCGGCCACACUGGGAAUGAGACACGGCCCCGACUCCUACGGGAGGCAGCAGUAGGGAAUCUGCGGAAAUGGACGAAAGUCUGACCGAGCAACGCCGCGUGAGUGAAGAAGGUGUUCGGAUCGUAAAACUCUGUUGUUAGAGAAGCGGUAUCUAACCAGAAAGCCACGGCUAACUACGUACCAGCAGCCGCGGUAAUAC